CUGGGCCAAUACUGACACUGAGGAGCGAAAGUCUGGGGAGCGAACAGGAUUAGAUACCCUGGUAGUCCAGACCGUAAACGGUGGGCACUAGUUGUGGGGACCUUCCACGGUUUCUGCGACGCAGCUAACGCAUUAAGUGCCCCGCCUGGGGAGUACGAUCGCAAGAUUAAAACUCAAAGGAAUUGACGGGGCCCCGCACAAGCAGCGGAGCAUGCGGCUUAAUUCGACGCAACGCGAAGAACCUUACCAAGGCUUGACAUAUAGGGAAAAGUGGCAGAGAUGUCAUGUCCGCAAGGGCCCUAUACAGGUGGUGCAUGGUUGUCGUCAGCUCGUGUCGUGAGAUGUUGGGUUAAGUCCCGCAACGAGCGCAACCCUCGUUCUGUGUUGCCAGCAUUUAGUUGGGGACUCACAGGAGACUGCCGGGGUUAACUCGGAGGAAGGUGGGGAUGACGUCAAAUCAUCAUGCCCCUUAUGUCUUGGGCUGCACGCAUGCUACAAUGGCUGGUACAAAGGGCUGCAGCACUGCAAAGUGGAGCGAAUCCCAAAAAGCCAGUCUCAGUUCGGAUUGGGGUCUGCAACUCGACCCCAUGAAGUCGGAGUUGCUAGUAAUCGUAGAUCAGCAACGCUACGGUGAAUACGUUCCCGGGGCUUGUACACACCGCCC
rnacentral:rRNA from 1 species